rnacentral:miRNA from 2 species
UGUUGGCCCGGCUCACUCAGA